UUAUCAACAACAAUUAUCCUUUUUAGGUACCAAGCAGGGGCGGAGCCAGCACCUUAUCCAAGUCAUUUGAAAUGUAGUGAUGAUGCAUCUAUCACCCCCCAUCGUACCAUUGUAAAACCCAUGGUGAAUCUUCACAUUAGAUGCAAGAGAUGAGAGGAUGUUUUCGCGGUUAAUAGCAUAUUUACUAUCUUCUCCAAAAGACCCAGUGCCACUGCAUCGCUGUGAAGAAACAACAGCAAUUAUGCUACUGAGGACGAACAAGAAGAUCAAUAAGGAAAUCUUCUUGGCCAUUCUCAAUGCUUUGGAAUCAUUCAACUUGACUAAACAAAAGAAACAAUAUCAUUGUCGGCACUCACUUUCAAAACCUACCAUGUGUUGAAAAUAGCGCCUCAAGUGGUGAAGCGAUAAGGAAGAACAAUCUAGCCUAGGCCAACGCUAGGGUCGCGUCCCUAGACAAGAUCCGGAGCAGGUUGUAGAGCGAAAGAGAGUGCAUGAAAAAAGAUGUCAUAAUUGGAGUGUUUACUGCGGAACAGGCAUGCGGGGCAGUUUGACGGUUGAUCCCACAAGGAGCAGCCGGGUGAUUGCUCUCGAUAUUUAAUAAAACCUUCAAAAUAUUUCGGGGUUAUCCCUAACUGCCCUAUCUUCUCAUCUAUUCUAGUGGUCCCUCCAUAUAAAAGACGCCUUCUAUCUUUACUUUUUUACGCUAGUUUUUGGCAAAAAACCUUAGACUCGAUUUUUAGCGAAUUGUAACUUGUA